CCGGCAUCACGCCUUUCUUUAUUCGUCGCUACCCGUCUUCCAGGCUCCUCCCGCGGCGCGCCUGAGUUUCGCCCUCGCAGCGCACCCCGCACGUACUUCCUCCUCAUCUUCGGACCCGGCGGCAUGCGCUCCUUCAGUUGCGCUGCCAUAGGAAGAUACUCGGAGCGGUGCCAAAUUCAUCACACAUCAAUGAGAUGGACUCAGACUGAUUCUCUCCUCAUGCUCUUCCAUCUCAGAUGAGAGCUCCCACCACUUUGUGUAAUGAGCGUCUGUUUUUUUCUGUCUCUGUAUGCUCCUACAAGCAAAGGGUCAAAUUUCCAGCAAUAUUUUGGCAUUACAAUA